GAUCUCUUCGGAGUGACGUACCGGAAGCUUAGUGGCAGACGGGUGAGUAACACGUGAGCAACCUGCCCUAUAGAGGGGAAUAACACACCGAAAGGUGUGCUAAUACCGCAUAAGUAUGAUUAUCGCAUGGUAGACAUAUGAAAGAUUUAUCGCUAUAGGAUGGGCUCGCGGCUGAUUAGUUAGUUGGUGGGGUAACGGCCUACCAAGACGACGAUCAGUAGCCGGACUGAGAGGUUGAACGGCCACAUUGGGACUGAGACACGGCCCAGACUCCUACGGGAGGCAGCAGUGGGGGAUAUUGCGCAAUGGGGGAAACCCUGACGCAGCAAUGCCGCGUGAAGGAAGAAGGUCUUCGGAUUGUAAACUUUUGUCUUUGGUGACGAAGAAUGACGGUAGCCAAGGAGGAAGCUCCGGCUAACUACGUGCCAGCAGCCGCGGUAAUACGUAGGGAGCGAGCGUUGUCCGGAUUUACUGGGUGUAAAGGGCGCGUAGGCGGGCCUGCAAGUCAGAUGUGAAAUACCGGGGCUUAACCCCGGGGCUGCAUUUGAAACUGUGGGUCUUGAGUGCGGGAGAGGAAAGCGGAAUUCCUAGUGUAGCGGUGAAAUGCGUAGAUAUUAGGAGGAACACCGGUGGCGAAGGCGGCUUUCUGGAUCGUAACUGACGCUGA
rnacentral:rRNA from 1 species